rnacentral:tRNA from 1 species
GCCAUUGUAGCUCAGUUGGUAGAGCGGCUGCCCUGUAAGCAGUUGGUCGCGGGUUCGAUUCCUGCCGGUGGCUCGA